UCACACCUAUUUUUGGAAGUUACUCAGCUCGACGUCAUCGUUUCUGAAAAGGUUUACUCAUUUCUCGAAUGUCUCGUUUCACCACUCAAUUAUGGCGUCAUGAUCCCGGGCAUAGCAUAGCUUCUAAUGUUUGCUUUUACCUCGUUUGUCAAAAAGGCAGAUAAGAUAAGUCGGAAUGUCGCAUGCGGUCUUGUGUUUUAAUAUCGGUUGCAAUCGACUGCACCGCUAUUGGUCGUAGUUGAAUCUCGAAUGCCGCGCAACUUACAAGCGAAAAUAUCCACACCUGUUGGAAUCAGCUAUCGAGCUUGAAUAAUGAAAUUCACAAAAAUCUGGAUCCUGCUGUUGGUGGCAGUGUUUAGCUUUGAGUCUGUACAGUCAGUUCGUGUAAUAUUUAGGAGAAGGGUACAAUCCAACGGAAAUGUGGCGCACCUUCUACGCUCACCGAAUGCCACAAGUUGUCCCCAGGGGCAGAAGCUGGAUCGACGAGGGGGAUGCAGGCAGUCUGUUACGUUUUAAGAUAGUUUUAAGGACCCGUGGAUGAUCGGACGAGGAAUGGUACUACAUGAAAUCCAGUGAAACAAAAAUGUGUAAUCAUGUGAAACGAACUUCUUGGAGUGAAACUUAUGGUAUAUUUUGAUUAGCAAAUGAAAUGUUUUUUUGCUUUUGAAUAAAUGAAUUGUUCAAUGCGCAAUAAACAAAGAUAAGACAAGGAUAUAUUUUAAGUGGACAAUCAAUGACAUCUGUGAUAAAGCAACUAUGAGUGAAUCAGUUUCGAAUUGACGUCAAGUCAACUGGUUGGGCUACCCGCCUGUGCUUAGGUCUGAUGGCGACAGUUUUUCAGUUUAAUUUCAAACUUCUCGUCGAAUUUGACAAACGGGAUCAGAGCUUUCCAAAUCUCAUGGCAAGUUUCAUAAGCGGAGCCAAAAAAAAACGAGAACAGUAAGACUAGAAAGAACUGCCCAUGUUAAAAAGUAAGAAACGCCCUUUAGUUGCAGAUCAACGACUUAAAAUGUUGGUAUAAGUUUAAUAGCCAUUCUCUCCGGCCCUUGAUGCUACUUCAAAGUCUUCAA